rnacentral:rRNA from 1 species
UACGGGGGGGGCAAGCGUUGUUCGGAAUUACUGGGCGUAAAGGGCGCGUAGGCGGCCUGCUAAGUCGGACGUGAAAUCCCUCGGCUCAACCGGGGGAACUGCGUGUGAUACUGGAUGGCUUGGAUUUGGGAGAGGGAUGCGGAAUUCCAGGUGUAGCGGUGAAAUGCGUAGAUAUCUGGAGGAACACCGGUGGCGAAGGCGGCAUCCUGGACCAAUAUUGACGCUGAGGAGCGAAAGCCAGGGGAGCAAACGGG